GGUGUUACUGCUGUCUCUUCUGUCUGCAGAAAGCCCAGAUGGUACAGCAUAGUUUGAUGACUGGCUGGGAUGGACAGAAGCCCUUGAUCAUCUGAUUUUCUGCUGGUGUGAAGUUAAAAGUAUGGGCAGCAGUGAUCCAGCCAGCUGGUAUUUUGGAAAGAAACCUACAACACCAAAUGCGAAUACUGAGCAGCUGACUCUGUUAAUACCUGUCAGACUGGGCGGAUCAGAAAAUGUAGGAGAGGUAGGAAUGAGCCUGCAAAUCCAGCUUCCUCAAUGACACACCCAAGGGAAUAUUUAAGGCAUCCACUUUUGGCCACAGCUGAAGAGGAGACACCAGUGCUGAUGAAUUUUUUGCCUGACAGAUGUAGCUGCUCUUGCAGGAUCGCGUUGUGCAUGUGCUAAACAUGCCCAUCUGUGCUGUGAAGCUGGAGGCGGAGCUUCAGAAAGGUAAAAUGUGUGUAGAUUUAUGUGAAAAAAGCAUCUUUCCGAUCCUGUCAGAGCUUCGGACAUGGAUUCUUUGUUACUAUGACUGUGCAAGAAAUUUGAGAAACUUCCCAAAGCCAGGGUCUUAGCACUUAAGAGCUAUGCAGGUUCACAGCACGGAUAAUACUGCUCUUCUGGAAUGCUCUGAGAACUCAUGACAGUCUUGAAAAGGAAGUGUUCCUCCAUACUGACUGGCCUUCAUGUGAGCUAUCCAGACUGGCUGAAGCUUAAUUAAAAAUUGCCAGAGUGGCUAAAUUCUUUCCUAAGUGCAGCUGCAAAAUAUUAGCUGUGGGCAUAUUUUAGACCUUAAUUAGUAACACUUGCACUGGAGAACCAAAAUCCUUCA